rnacentral:rRNA from 1 species
GGUCAGGACGAACGCUGGCGGCGUGCCUAAUACAUGCAAGUCGAACGGUCUUUCUAUGGAAGCUUGCUUCCACUGGGAAGAUAGUGGCGAACGGGUGAGUAACACGUGGGUAACCUGCCCAUAAGAGGGGGAUAACAUCCGGAAACGGGUGCUAAUACCGCAUAGUUUUCUUGAUCGCAUGAUUGAGAAAGGAAAGACGGCCUUUGUGCUGUCGCUUAUGGAUGGACCCGCGGCGUAUUAGUUAGUUGGUGAGGUAACGGCUCACCAAGACGAUGAUACGUAGCCGACCUGAGAGGGUGAUCGGCCACAUUGGGACUGAGACACGGCCCAAACUCCUACGGGAGGCAGCAGUAGGGAAUCUUCCGCAAUGGACGAAAGUCUGACGGAGCAACGCCGCGUGAGUGAAGAAAGGUUUUCGGAUCGUAAAACUCUGUUGUCAGAGAAGAACAAGUUGGAGAGUAACUGCUCCAGCCUUGACGGUAUCUGACCAGAAAGCCACGGCUAACUACGUGCCAGCCGCCGC